rnacentral:misc_RNA from 1 species
AAAAAGGCAACAACCAAGAGUUUUUCAUAAUUGUUUCACAAAGCAAAUUGUGGAUUGGGGACAUGCUUAGCAUUAACGAUGAACGGCAGACUACAACACUCAGAGCAAAUCAAUCCAAUAUCCAAGCAUUUGAAACUAUAAGUAAUUUUCAAGGCAGAGUUCUCUGUGGUAUAAAGUGAAAAACAAGGUUGUGUGACUACCUAUGAAACCCUUUAGGUUCUCAACUAUUUUGUUCAUCGACAACACAGCAACAAAUUCUGCAAGCUUUGCUAUUCUGCAACUAUUCUUUCUUCUCAUUGAUGCUCUUCCUUCUUCUUCUUCUUCUUCUUCU